UCCAUGCAGGUCUAGUGGUUAGGCCACAGUGCUCUCACCGCUGUGGCCUGGGUUCGAUUCUCAACCAGGGGU